GAGUUUGAUCCUGGCUCAGGACGAACGCUGGCGGCGUGCCUAAUACAUGCAAGUGGAACGCAUGAUUGAUACCGGAGCUUGCUCCACCAUUAAUCAUGAGUCGCGAACGGGUGAGUAACGCGUAGGUAACCUACCUCAUAGCGGGGGAUAACUAUUGGAAACGAUAGCUAAUACUGCAUAACAGUCUUUGACACAUGUUAGAGACUUAAAAGGAGCAAUUGCUUCACUAUGAGAUGGACCUGCGUUGUAUUAGCUAGUUGGUGAGGUAAAGGCUCACCAAGGCGACGAUACAUAGCCGACCUGAGAGGGUGAUCGGCCACACUGGGACUGAGACACGGCCCAGACUCCUACGGGAGGCAGCAGUAGGGAAUCUUCGGCAAUGGGGGGAACCCUGACCGAGCAACGCCGCGUGAGUGAAGAAGGUUUUCGGAUCGUAAAGCUCUGUUGUUAGAGAAGAACGUGUGUGAGAGUGGAAAGUUCACACAGUGACGGUAACUAACCAGAAAGGGACGGCUAACUACGUGCCAGCAGCCGCGGUAAUACGUAGGUCCCGAGCGUUGUCCGGAUUUAUUGGGCGUAAAGCGAGCGCAGGCGGUUCUGUAAGUCUGAAGUUAAAGGCAGUGGCUUAACCAUUGUACGCUUUGGAAACUGCAGGACUUGAGUGCAGAAGGGGAGAGUGGAAUUCCAUGUGUAGCGGUGAAAUGCGUAGA
rnacentral:rRNA from 1 species